ACUACGAGCUUUAGCUUAAAACCCAAAGGACUUGACGGUGUCCCACCCCACUAGAGGAGCCUGUUCUAUAAUCGAUGAUCCACGAUAAACCCAACCAUUUCUUGCUAUUCAGCCUGUAUACCUCCGUCGUAAGUUUACCAUAUGAAUGCUUAACAGUAGACUCAAAGACUUAAACGCCACAAUGUCAGGUCAAGGUGCAGCUUAUGAAAUGGAAGAAAUGGGCUACAAUUUCUAACUUAGAACAAACGAAUUACUACAUGAAACAUAGUCAUGAAGGCGGAUUUAGAAGUAAGUAAAGAAUAGAGAGCUUUACUAAAACUGGCCCUGGGACGUGUACAAACCGCCCGUCACCCUCUUCAAUAGCCCAAAUCUAGCUACAUAACCUAAAUAAGCACCUUAGAAGAGGCAAGUCGUAACAUGGUAAGUAUACUGGAAAGUGUACUUGGAACAA
rnacentral:rRNA from 1 species